rnacentral:rRNA from 1 species
AGAGUUUGUAUCCUGGCUCAGGACGACGCUGGCGGCGUGCUUAACACAUGCAAGUCGAACGAUGAUGCCCAGCUUGCUGGGCGGAUUAGUGGCGAACGGGUGAGUAACACGUGAGUAACCUGCCCUUGACUUCGGGAUAACUCCGGGAAACCGGGGCUAAUACCGGAUAUGAGCCGUCCUCGCAUGGGGGUGGUUGGAAAGUUUUUCGGUCAGGGAUGGGCUCGCGGCCUAUCAGCUUGUUGGUGGGGUGAUGGCCUACCAAGGCGACGACGGGUAGCCGGCCUGAGAGGGCGACCGGCCACACUGGGACUGAGACACGGCCCAGACUCCUACGGGAGGCAGCAGUGGGGAAUAUUGCACAAUGGGCGAAAGCCUGAUGCAGCGACGCCGCGUGAGGGAUGAAGGCCUUCGGGUUAUAAACCUCUUUCAGCAGGGAAGAAGCGCAAGUGACGGUACCUGCAGAAGAAGCGCCGGCUAACUACGUG